GCAAUUAAUGCUGAAACACAGCUAGCAUACAUAGCAAUAACUUAGGCAAAAAGGCAACACUCAAGCAAAAUCCUUCCUGGAAUUAAAAUCCUGUUAUUAGGUCAACCAACUUUUCUUUUAACUAACUAAAUAAACAACAGCAAGACAUGAAACCUAGACCUAUAAGUUUAGUACCUGAAUCUCUUGCUGAUUCAUGCAUUUCUAUUAAUCUUCUCAGUCAGAUGUUUAGCUCAGAUCUGUCCUCUUAUCCAAGCUUUUCCAAGAGUCUCCUAGCUACACUUCUGGCAUCAUGUUACACCCUACAAUCCAGCUCUUCACAGUCUCCUGACUUCUUUUUAAAAGUUGCAUACUAUAUAUACAUCUCUCUCUUGCUUAACAUUCCUCAGUUAUUCCCUAGUGGACACAGAAUAAAGUCUAGCUUCUUAGCAUGUUACUUGGGCUCCUUCAGUGCCAGUCCCCACAAAUUCCUCACUCAUCUUGCAGAAGCUCCCAGUUUUCAAUAUUCUCCUAAAUGCUGUGGAACCUCUGUCUAUGCAGGAUUCUAAAGAUGAGGAAAAUUAGUCCCUUAAGACUCAGCUUAAGCAUUGCCCCUUGUGCCUUUACUGUUAGUUUGCCCCUCUGUUCUUAAGAGUUUAUUCCUGGCAUUGCUCUUAAGGGAAGGAAGUUUGGCAGGGCCAAGAGUCCUAAACGUUAGACCUUUCUCUCUAAACACUAACAACAUUAAAACUCCAUUCAAGAAGGAGCAAAAGAAGCCAUCAUCUAGAAACAAUGUUGAUAACCACAGUUCCUGAACUUGGGCUUGUUAAAAGACUUUAUCUCCAUGAGUAUACUGAAACACAUAUUUAGUUUAUCUCCUAUUAUCAAGAAAGAAAUAUUAAAACUUCACUGUUGAGGAUCACUCUGAAUAUGAAAGUGCUCAAGACAAUCAAUCAGGUCUCGAGAUCUAGAAAUUAGUAUAAGUACUGAGUGCUAGGGGAAAAAAAUUAUACUCUUCAAACUACAUCCCUGGGAGUGUUAGUGAUGUCAUAAUUCACUGAGGAUCUAGAAACUACAGGAUGGAUACUUAUAAAAGAUAAGGGAAGUAUAGUGCAUAGGUUGCUGAGAGGUGGAGAGAAAGUUGCUUACUUUUCCUGAGCCUCAACUUUCUGAAAACAUAGAAACACAAUUAGAUGAUGAGUUAUGAGGUGAAGGAGGGGAUGACUCAGCAGCAAUGUGCCAGCUCCAUAGUGACUUCUCCACCAAGCUGGAGAAGGAUUUGCAGCAAUGGUUCCAGAACCAACUGUGUGUAUCUACAGGAUGAAGAAACUAAGGCAACAAGCAGGAUACAUCCAGCUGUGCUACCUGGGAGGAGUCCUCUCUUCUAUAAUCAAACUCAACAGAAACAGGCCCUUGCUUCUGGGACAUCAAACAUGAAGAGGCUCCUGUUCUGCAGAAAAUAAAUAAGGCGAUAUCAAAGAUUUGUAGAAAUUUUGAUUAAGACACUUUCUCAGUCUUUCCACAUAGCAGACACUGAACUACUGACAUGUGCUGUAGCUAGAAUUGAGCCUGUGGACUUUUAUCUUUGCCUUUGAAUUCUGUUAUAUUGACAUUAAUUUGGACACUCAAUAAAAAAUUAACAAAAUA
rnacentral:lncRNA from 1 species